AGCAAAAGAAAAGUUAAUAUAAUCCCCAAAACUUCAGAAAUAAUUGAAAUGCCUUCAUCUCCCUAUCUGUGGUUGUAUCUUUCUAAAGCGCUAUUUCAUUAGUAAUGAUCCUAUGGAAGACCAACCACAACCAUUCUUAAUUUAAGAUACUUACAUGUAUGUAUCUUACCUCUCAAGAGAUUUUUUUUUUUAAUUAUCUUUAUUACAAGGAUGAACAGUUUUACUCUGCAUUUUACUUCUGAUCUCAACAGAUGAAAGUAACCUGUUAUUAUAGACAACUCUACCAAGUUUUUCCUCCUAGGCAUUCUGUUUAUAACAGGUGUCCACAUAAUUAAAUACUACAAGUCUCUAUGUUUCCCCUUUCUGUAAAAUCCUAAGGGCCUACACAACAGUAGCUGUAAAAGGAACAAGCUUUAGAAAACUCCUUUCUCUUAGGAUAUAAUUAAUAGCAGGAUUAAUAAAUAGAUAUUGUUUUAGAGGUUUAAUUAAUAGAGCACAGGCACUCUAGGAACCAUAUAACAGUCCAAUGCAGAAUGCACAGGUGCUCUAAGGACAAUACUGAAAGUAAGUAACCAUGAUGUCGGAAGGCUGCAUCAGUGAACAGUGGUGUAUGGAGAGGAAUGAAAAUGGAACAAUAAGAACUACCCAAAACUGUAGAAUACAAUGGAGUUUUGAAAUUGAUGAUGAAUUGAGAGCUGAAAGUUCCUGGAAAAUCACCAAAGACUCUUUGUAUUGUAUGUUAUAUCAUAUAUAUAGAGGUCAUUUUCUGUUAGCUGUUGCCACUCAUGAAGGUGAUGGCCCAACUCUGAGUUGUUAAUAAGGCCAGCCUUAGAGGUACCCACAGUCUGGUGAAAUCCUUUAACACUGCAAUGGGAAGAAAAAA